rnacentral:rRNA from 1 species
AUAACACUUAGAAAUAGGUGCUAAUACCGCAUGAGCGCACAGGACCGCAUGGUCGAGUGUGAAAAACUGAGGUGGUGUAAGAUGGACCCGCGUCUGAUUAGCUAGUUGGUGAGGUAACGGCCCACCAAGGCGACGAUCAGUAGCCGGCCUGAGAGGGUGGACGGCCACAUUGGGACUGAGACACGGCCCAAACUCCUACGGGAGGCAGCAGUGGGGGAUAUUGGACAAUGGGGGGAACCCUGAUCCAGCGACGCCGCGUGAGUGAAGAAGUAUCUCGGUAUGUAAAGCUCUAUCAGCAGGGAAGAAAGAAAUGACGGUACCUGAGUAAGAAGCCCCGGCUAACUACGUGCCAGCAGCCGCGGUAAUACGUAGGGGGCAAGCGUUAUCCGGAAUUACUGGGUGUAAAGGGAGCGUAGACGGUGAUGUAAGUCUGGAGUGAAAGGCGGGGGCCCAACCCCCGGACUGCUCUGGAAACUAUGUGACUGGAGUGCAGGAGAGGUGAGCGGAAUUCCUAGUGUAGCGGUGAAAUGCGUAGAUAUUAGGAGGAACACCAGUGGCGAAGGCGGCUCACUGGACUGUAACUGACGUUGAGGCUCGAAAGCGUGGGGAGCAAACAGGAUUAGAUACCCUGGUAGUCCACGCCGUAAACGAUGAUCACUAGGUGUGGGUGGGUAUGGACCCAUCGGUG